UCUUUUCCCCGUUUUCUGGGGUUUUUUUCCCCUUUUUCCCCGCUUUUUUCCCUGCUUUCUUCCGGCUUUUUUCCCACUUUUCCCUCUGAUUUUUUCCCCACAUUUUUUUCAUUUUUUCUCCUGCUUUUUCCCUUUUUUCCCCCCAUUUUUUCCCUGUUUCUUUCCCCAAUUUUCCCUGUUUUUCUCCUGCUUUUUCUCCCCCCACAUUUUUGCUUUUUCCCCAAGUUUUUCCCAGUAUUUUUCCCUUCCCCCCACCCUUUUUUCCCCACUUUCCCCUGCUUUUUCCCCACUUUUUUUCCCUUUUUUCCCCUUUUCCCCCCCACUUUUUUCCCCAUUUCUUCCCGGCUUUUUCCCCUACUUUUCCCCUGGCUUUUUUUUUCCCACUUUCCCCUAAUUUUUCCUGCAUCUUUCACACUUUUUUCCCCACUUUUUAGAUUUUUCCAACUUUCUUCACCUUUUCCCCUCUGUUUCCCUUUUUUCCCCACUUUUUUAGCUUUUUCCCUGCUUUUUUCCCCUUUUUUUUCCCUUCUCUCCCUUUUUUUUCCCCAGUUUUUUUCCACUUCUUUCCCCAUUUUUCCCUGCUUUUUUCCCACUUUUUUUCCCCCAGUAUUUUCCCUUUUUCUGCUUUUUUUUUUUUCCACUUCUUUCCCCAUUUUUCCCUGCUUUUUUCCCACUUUUUUUCCCCCAGUAUUUUCCCUUUUUCUGCUUUUUUCCACACUUUUUCCACACUUUUUUCCCACCACUUUUUCCCCUUUCUUUUUCAUGCAUUUUUUUCAGGUUUUUCUGCUUUUUUCCCCGAUUUUUUCCCACUUUUUUUGCUUUUUCCCCAUUUUUAUCACUUUUUUCCUGCUUUUUCCCACUUUUUUCCUGCUUUUUCCCACUUUUUUUCCCCACUUUUCCAGCUUUUCCCGUGCAUUUUUGGUGGUGAAGGUCAGGAAAAAACCUGGGAUUUGACGUUUUCCAAAUUUCCCAUGGAAUCUUCUGGGAUUUGUCCAUUUGGGGUUGGGAUUUUGCUCCUUUCCCAUGGAGUUUUCUGAAAUCUGGGGUGGAACUUGGGAUUUUCCAUGGAAUUUGGCCAUUUGGGGUUGUUCUUUCCUUCAUUUCCCACGGAAUUCCCCAGGAUUUUCCCGUUUUUUUUCCCUGCAGGUCCUGAUGGCCGCCGAAUCCCAG
rnacentral:lncRNA from 1 species